GAUGAAGAACGUAGCGAAAUGCGAUAAGUAGUGUGAAUUGCAGAAUUCCGUGAAUCAUCGAAUCUUUGAACGCACAUUGCGCCUUCUGGUAUUCCGGAAGGCAUGCCUGUUCGAGAGUCAUUAACAACCGUUUCGAUCCCUUUCUUUCAGAAAUUACAAAGAGGAAAAGGGUUUGGUUAUGGUGGAGGAGGGAAAGGGAGCGUUUAGCCUGUAAAAAAAGAGGCUGUGUUCCGCCUCCCCCCCAAAAUUGUACAGGCGGUCGUGUGCGCCCACGCAUCGAGGUGUUGUAAAAGCUUCCACGGCACUUUUCACCUGUGCAGUGCGAGAUUGGCCAGCCGGUUUAAAAACCCCUCCAAACAAUCAAAGGUUGACCUCGGAUCAGGUAGGGAUACCCGCUGAACUUAAGCAUAUCAAUAAGCGGAGGA
rnacentral:misc_RNA from 1 species